rnacentral:lncRNA from 1 species
ACCUUGGUGACAAGGAAUGGAGGAGAAAAGGAACAGGAAAUUUUAAUAAGAUUAGGAGGGCUUGCUUUUCUGCCAAGUGAGCCGCUUUCACAGGAGCGAUAAAUUGGAAAUGUUAUCUGGCUUGAUAUGCCAGUUUUUCUGAGAAAAUCACUCUGCCAGUGGUGACAGAAUGGAAGAGCUGAAAACAUCUUCUUUUUUCAAAGUCAUAUGUCACGAACCAAGGAGACUCCAAAAAAUAAAUUAUGGAAGAUUAUGACCACUGCUGCCAAGGAUACAGUGAAAUAGAGUUUGUGGCAUCUGGUUUUAACUCCAAUAUGUAAAGAGCUUGGAAGCCAUCUUUCCUUCCACCACAACAAGAAAACAGCUGAACUGAAAAUCAAUGACUUUUCUUAGAUCCAUUAAAGAAUUGAGAUUGCAGGACACACUACCACCCUGAAAACUGGAGAGAGGAAAAAUACAGAGAGGAAGCAGAUCAGCUUACCUGAAGCAGAGGCCGCUGGAAUCUGUGACAGGUCCGAGGAAGUUCCUGAGAUAACUUUGUGAGUGGUCCACUAUUUCUGCAUUUCAC